rnacentral:lncRNA from 1 species
CCGCCCCGAGUCCCUGUCGGGAGAUGGUGGCAAGGUAGAAGAAUAAAGUUACUUACUUACUAAGUUACGUACAAGCCACUCUAAACACCAUUGAAGAAGCAUACGAGAAGCUUGGCCUCUCAUUGAACAUCAAACUGGAGGUCAGCUGUGACCAGCAGUGCUGUGGAAUUUGGAGAGGAAUGGAGGGUGAAAAGGAGAAACACGCCAAAAGGAAGAAGAUGCGUCAAGCCAACCCUGAUCAAGACUGCCUUCCACCUGGAAACCGAUGUCCUCACUGUGGAACAACAUGCGGGUCAAGAAUAGGGCUCCACAGUUACCUACGUAUCCACCGUUAAGACACUGCACUUGGAAGGCCAUCAGAAUAAUUGUAUAGACAUUUCUCUUAUAUACAAUUAUUAAAACAGUUCAGUUAAAAUAAGUGACAAUAAAAAGACACUUUUAAUUUCCAUCUAAUUAUACAUAGGACAAAAAAAUCCUCCCCCCAAAACUCCGGGAAAACAUAUCUGGAGUGUAAAACUAGUACAAAAAUUAUAUUACUAUAUAUCGGUCUCUCCCGAAUGGCACAAUCGCCAGUUGCUUUGAAGAUUUGUCAUUUUUAUAUAAAAAUAAUAAUAAUAAUGACAACGAUAAAAGAAAACCGGGAUAUGCUACAAAAGAGCCUGAGGAGUUACAAAAGCUUGUGAAUAAUUUUACAAAUGACUUAUGCAUAUAAACAACCAAAGUUGAGGGACGGCGGUGGAAGUCAUUGUCAUGCUCUGUUUGGAAGCUUCCAGAAACAUCUGGGUGCCAGCUGUUGGAGGAAAAAGAGAGACGUGGUUCCAGAUGGAGGCGAAAAUAACAGUUGUUGCAUUGUUUGGAGGAUCUGGAAUCAGGUUGGUCUUGCUGGCCAAAGGGAGCUUCUCUUAAAGACUAGUCCGGGUGAAAAAUACAGCCUGGUCCAUUUGGGCAAGCUCUCCAUGUGUGUGGCGAUUACCCGGCACAGCUCCAGACCCUGGGAAGGAGAGAAAGAAAGAAAGAAAGGAAGAAAGAAAGAAAGAAAGAAAGAGGAUGAUGCUGGUUUAUUCCAAGUAGGUUACGUCUUCGCCUGCAAAACUACCGUGAUUGCGCCAUCACGAUAA